rnacentral:rRNA from 1 species
GUGCCAGCAGCCGCGGUAAUACCGGCAGCCCGAGUGAUGGCCGAUCUUAUUGGGCCUAAAGCGUCCGUAGCUCGCCACGAAAGUCCGUCGGGAAAUCCACCCGCUCAACGGGUGGGCGUCCGACGGAACCUACGUGGCUUGGGACCGGAAGACUCAGCGGGUACGUCCUGGGUAGGAGUGAAAUCCCGUAAUCCUGGACGGACCACCGAUGGCGAAAGCACGCUGAGAGGACGGAUCCGACAGUGAGGGACGAAAGCUGGGGUCUCGAACCGGAUUAGAUACCCUAGUAGUCC